AGAAUCAACGCUGGCGGCGUGCCUAACACAUGCAAGUCGAACGAGAAAGUGGAGCAAUCCAUGAGUAAAGUGGCGCACGGGUGAGUAACACGUGACUAACCUACCCUUGAGUGGGGGAUAACCUAGAGAAAUCUGGGCUAAUACCGCAUAAUACCUUCGGGUCAAAGGAGCAAUUCGCUUUAGGAGGGGGUCGCGGCCGAUUAGUUAGUUGGCGGGGUAAUGGCCCACCAAGACUGUGAUCGGUAUCCGGCCUGAGAGGGCGCACGGACACACUGGAACUGAAACACGGUCCAGACUCCUACGGGAGGCAGCAGUGGGGAAUUUUGCGCAAUGGGGGAAACCCUGACGCAGCAACGCCGCGUGGAGGAUGAAGCCCCUUGGGGCGUAAACUCCUUUCGAUCGGGAAGAUAAUGACGGUACCGAGAGAAGAAGCCCCGGCUAACUUCGUGCCAGCAGCCGC
rnacentral:rRNA from 1 species